CGGAUUGUAGGCUGCAACUCGCCUACANGAAGUCGGAGUUGCUAGUAAUCGCGGAUCAGAAUGCCGCGGUGAAUACGUUCCCGGGUCUUGUACACACCGCCCGUCACACCAUGGGAGUCGGAAAUGCCCGAAGUCUGUGACCUAACCGAAAGGGAGGAGCAGCCGAAGGCAGGUCUGAUGACUGGGGUGAAGUCGUAACAAGGUACC
rnacentral:rRNA from 1 species